UCCUCCUUACAGAGGCAGUUUCGUCCGAGUUCCCGACAUUACUCGCUGGCAACAGACAAUGAGGGUUGCGCUCGUUGCGGGACUUAACCCAACAUCUCACGACACGAGCUGACGACAGCCAUGCACCACCUGUGAUGCACCCUCGAAAGCGACCGGCUUUCACCGGCUUGCAGCACCAUGUCAAGCCCUGGUAAGGUUCUUCGCGUUGCAUCGAAUUAAGCCACAUGCUCCACCGCUUGUGCGGGCCCCCGCCAAUUCCUUUGAGUUUCAACCUUGCGGCCGUAGUCCCCAGGCGGUUCACUUAAUGCGUUAGCUGCGGCACCGAGGAUUGCUCCCCAACACCUAGUGAACAUAGUUUAGGGCCAAGACUAC
rnacentral:misc_RNA from 1 species